UUGACCUCGGAUCAGGUAGGAAUACCCGCUGAACUUAAGCAUAUCAAUAAGCGGAGGAAAAGAAACCAACAGGGAUUGCCCUAGUAACGGCGAGUGAAGCGGCAACAGCUCAAAUUUGAAAUCUGGCUCUAGGGCCCGAGUUGUAAUUUGUAGAGGAUACUUUUGGUGAGGUGCCUUCCGAGUUCCCUGGAACGGGACGCCAUAGAGGGUGAGAGCCCCGUCUGGUUGGAUACCGAGCCUCUGUAAAGUUCCUUCGACGAGUCGAGUAGUUUGGGAAUGCUGCUCUAAAUGGGAGGUAUAUGUCUUCUAAAGCUAAAUAUUGGCCAGAGACCGAUAGCGCACAAGUAGAGUGAUCGAAAGAUGAAAAGCACUUUGAAAAGAGAGUUAAAAAGCACGUGAAAUUGUUGAAAGGGAAGCGCUUGUGACCAGACUUGGGCUUGGUUAAUCAUCCGGCGUUCUCGCCGGUGCACUUUUCCAGCUCAGGCCAGCAUCAGUUUGCUUCGGGGGAUAAAAGUUUCGGGAAUGUGGCUCCUUCGGGAGUGUUAUAGCCCGUUGCAUAAUACCCUGGAGCGGACUGAGGUUCGCGCAUCUGCAAGGAUGCUGGCAUAAUGGUCAUCAGCGACCCG
rnacentral:rRNA from 1 species